UUCAUUUGGAGACGAUAUACAACAAAUCGCCAGUAAGCAGCAUUUAUUCAUUUUCAUUUUUUGCAAAAAAAGAAGAAAAAAAACUAACAAUUUUAAAGUGCAGUAAACAUAAGAACAAAGUGAUAAUUUUUGUAGGUGCACUAUGCUAUAGUUCGUUAGGUUCAGAAGUGUAAGUGUUUUAAUUAUCUCACCUCCGGAAACACCGAAUUGAACACAGACCGACUAAACACGAAUGCUCCCUCAAAUGCCUUUACUUUUGGAAGAUGUCCAAAUUAUUUGUCAUGCCCAAAUUUCUGCUGAUCUCAGCUUUGGAAGACUGUCAAAAUUGAAGUGUUGCCAACUUUGUGAAUUCAAAUUAUCUUUUGAUUUAUAAUUAAAAUUCUUGUGUAGUUUCUAUCCUAGAGAAA